GCGUGCCUAAUACAUGCAAGUCGAGCGGACGGAUGGGAGCUUGCUCCCUGAAGUCAGCGGCGGACGGGUGAGUAACACGUGGGCAACCUGCCUGUAAGACUGGGAUAACUUCGGGAAACCGGAGCUAAUACCGGAUAAUGCAUUUCCCCUCAUGGGGAUAUGCUGAAAGAUGGUUUCGGCUAUYACUUACAGAUGGGCCCGCGGCGCAUUAGCUAGUUGGUGAGGUAACGGCUCACCGAGGCAACGAUGCGUANCCGACCUGAGAGGGUGAUCGGCCACACUGGGACUGAGACACGGCCCAGACUCCUACGGGAGGCAGCAGUAGGGAAUCUUCCGCAAUGGACGAAAGUCUGACGGANCAACGCCGCGUGAGUGAUGAAGGUUUUCGGAUCGUAAAACUCUGUUGUCAGGGAAGAACAAGUGCCGGAGUAACUGCCGGCACCUUGACGGUACCUGACCAGAAAGCCACGGCUAACUACGUGCCAGCAGCCGCGGUAAUACGUAGGUGGCAAGSSUUGUCCGGAAUUAUUGGGCGUAAAGCGCGCGCAGGCGGUCUCUUAAGUCUGAUGUGAAAGCCCACGGCUCAACCGUGGAGGGUCAUUGGAAACUGGGGGACUUGAGUGCAGAAGA
rnacentral:rRNA from 1 species